rnacentral:snRNA from 1 species
GAGGAUUUGUCGACCAGG